rnacentral:rRNA from 1 species
GACGUAGGGGCCAGCGUUGCUCGGAAUUACUGGGUGUAAAGGGUUCGUAGGCGGUGCGGCAAGUUGGGAGUGAAAUCUCUGGGCUCAACCCAGCGGCUGCUUCCAAAACUGCUGUGCUUGAGUGUGGGAGAGGCGCGUGGAAUUGCAGGUGUAGCGGUGAAAUGCGUAGAUAUCUGCAGGAACACCCGUGGCGAAAGCGGCGCGCUGGACCACAACUGACGCUGAGGAACGAAAGCUAGGGGAGCAAACAGG